NNNNNNUAUCGGGGCGCAACAUCUGCGCCAGCCCAUCACACGCGCCCCGUCCCGCAGCGCUGCCCCGUCCCGCUCCAUUGCGGGGCUGCGGGAUUCCCGGGAUGGGGGGGGGGGGAAACUCCUGGGGAUCCCCCCCCUCAAUGGCCGGACUUUGGGGUUCCUCUCUUGGGGGGGGGGGGGUGUUCCCCAAAUGGGGCUGCGGGGCCAAUCGAUGGCAAUGGGAUGAGGCUGUCCUACUGUCCCUAUGUCCUUCUGCCCUCCUGUCCCUCUGUCCCUAUGUCCUACUGUCCCCAUGUCCCCCUGCCCCUCUGUCCCUGUUCCCAUGUCCCCGUCUCCCUAUCCCCCUGUCCCCCUGCCCUCCUGUCCCUCUGCCCCUAUGUCCUCCUGUCCCCAUGUCCCCCUGUCCCUCUGUCCUCCCGUCCUCCUGUCCCCCUGUCCCACCAUCCCCAUCUCCCUAUCCCCCUGUCCCUCUGUCCUUCUAUCCCUUUGCCCCUCUGUCCCCCUGUCCCUCUGUCCCUCCAUCCCCGUCCCCCUGUCCUUCUGUCCCUCUGUCCUUCUGUCCUUCUGUCCUUCUAUCCCCUGUCCCCCCAUCCCCAUGUCCCUCUGUCCCUCUAUCCCCAUGUCCCACCGUCCCCCUGUCCCUCUGUCCUUCUGUCCCAAUGUCCCCAUGUCCCCAUGUCCCCAUGUCCCCAUGUCCCUAUGUCCCCAUGUCCCUAUGUCCCCCUGUCCCCAUAUCCCCCUGUACCCCUCUACUUCUGUCCCCCUGUCCCUCCAUCCCCCUGUCCCUCUGUCCUUCUGUCCUGCACACAAGUGUGUGCACAACCCGAUUCCAAAGCACAACAGUGCAAGCUCACACCUGCACACACAUGUACACACACACACAUGUACACGUUACACACACACAUGUACAUGUGUACACAUAUGUGCACCCCCCCCAUCCACACUUAUAGGUCUCUCAUUGGGCUCCGUGCUGGGGGGGUCUGUGUGCACUGAUAACAGCCCUGCUCUUAUCAGGGCGCUGCUGUAUGUUCCCCUCCCUAUGGGUUUUGGGGUCCCCCCCCAUCUCCUCACUGUUUGGGGUGACUCAAUGAUUGGGGUGCUAUGGGGGGGGCAGCACCCCACUGAUUGCCCCGUGAUACCCACAAUGUGGGGCAGAGUGGGAUGGAGAGGGCACCCCCCCCCAUCCACAGCCACUCUCGCGACCCGGUUCA
rnacentral:lncRNA from 1 species